GGAGGAGAUGGAUUUUGGCCGACAUUCUGCUAAUUUACUCAUCGAUGAAACAUUUGAUUUCAAAAUAGUUUUCUGUUCCCAAAACUACAAUCUGUUAGGAAUAGAGUGGACAAAGUUUUGUAGACUUUACCCUUUGCCAAAAAAAAAAAAAGGAAUGCGAAGGCGAAUUGAGUUAUUGCACACGUGGACUUUACAGAGUAGGCAUUCCACAACGGAACCCUGCAAAUGCCUGCUAGAAUCUUGUUAGCUCGUGCUUGGCUCUGCCCACCUCCUUGCUUGUUCUGCCCACUAUGGCUCAUUUGUUUCCCUUUGAAACGACAGGCUGUGGUCUAUGUAUGUGUAGUUCUAAAAAUCUUUGUCUGCUUCUUCUUCUUCUUUAAAUUAAAAGGUUAAUUAACACCACCACCUAGUGCGAGUCCGGUGUAAGAGUUCGCUACCCUACCAACUAACUCGACACUCAUUAAAACAUCGCCACUAUUCCACUAAUGGCCCCAUCUGAUCCUAGACUAGGCCGGCAGGGUCCGUGUACCUUCUAGACAAUGGCUAUCCUACAUUAACCAGGAUGACGGAUAGUGAUUCACCAUUCGUUAUCAGUUUUCUUUUAUUUCAAGUUGAUCGAAAUUGACAGAAAGCUACCUUUUUUCGUUUUUCGCUUCAGAUAUCGGAAAACAAGCACUGUCAAGGUCAAGGCACUGUCAAGGUCGAUUUUGUUCCUAGUGUAACGUUAGUUAACAAAAGCUAGCGUUACCGUUAGGGCAACUAGCUAACCACACAGUCUCAAAGGGACCUGGGGUGCAGAUGGUGGUGGAGGUGUUUGGCGUGGAGAGGACAGUGAAUUCAGUGGAGGACAUCCCAGCCACUUGACAGUGUUGGCACUGUUACUUCCUACCUGACGGGUGAAGGAUGAUAAACCCGUGUUUGAGAAGAGGUGUCUGGUGUGGGAGAACAUGCGGAUUCCCUCAAAGUUCCUGAAGGAGGAGUUGAAGGCGGAGCAUGCGUAGUACCUGCGGCAACACCCAGGUCUAUCUGUCUUCAGAGAGAUCUAGAGUGCAGACAGCAGAUGGUGGUGGUGGAGAUGUUUGGGGUGGAGAGGACAGUGGAUUCAGUUGGAGGACAUCCCAGCCACUUGGCAGUGUUGGUGUAACAGUAUAACUUUAGACCGUCCCCUCGCCCAUACCCGGGCGCGAACCAGGGACCCUCUGGACACAUCAACAACAGUCACCCACGAAGCAUCGUUACACAUCGCUCCACAAAAGCCGCGGCCCUUGCAGAGCAAGGGGAACCACUACUUCAAGGUCUCAGAGCAAGUGACGUCACCGAUUGAAACGCUAUUUAGCGCGCACCGCUAACUAAGCUAGCCGUUUCACAUCCGUUACAUUGGGACUGCUACUUCCUACCUGACGGGAAAGAGGCACCUGGCCACCCGAGUGCAGGUGGGCUCUGUCAACAUGAGGCUCUUACUGGUCCUACCCCAAGUACACACAGGAGUUGAAGAUGCCUUGUACCAGCGGCAGCACCCAGCGCUCCAAGCCAUGAUGGGUCGACUUCCUGCAGUUCCUGCUACUACGAAAACUGAGCGAGGUCAUCAUGUUCGCCCGCAAGGACUUCUUUGCCUCCUGCCAACUCCCGGGUGGCACCUUGAACACCUCCUCACCUUGAGGACACACAUUGUGGCUGCGUCUGUGUCUCAAUAGUCUAGUAGCUUUCUUUGACUGGCACUUUAGUGAGGACAAUACUAUUCUGGUUGGCACUUGUCACCAGUAUGUACAGAGACCCUCGAGAUCUAGAGUAUUGAUAAAAUACGAAUGCUUUUAUGGAUGUUUUUUAUUUUGUGAUGUUUUUACUGUCUGUUUGUAUGAGGUGCACUGAAACAAAUUCCUAAUCAACUCUGUUAUGGAAAUCGCAAGAGGUCCAGUUAUGUCACAGUUAUUGUGAAUGAAAAUAAAAUGUAUCAUUUCAUGUCUUGUAUGUUUCCCAUGCUUAAUUUCUGUGGAGUAAUUCCAGUAACUGCUAAUUUGCUUUGGCUCUAAUCUGAUCAACCGAUAAUUCUUUAAAGAAUAAUGUUAUAAAUAAAAUUAUUCUCAUGCUUGUCUGACUCCACAAGUAAUGCUAUUGUUUGUAUAAAGUCACUGCCCUGAUUUCCUAGAAAUGUGACACUUUUGAAUAACACAAUUAUGUGUAUGUAUUAUACUCUAGACCAUAUUGCAAGGCAGACUGAGAAAGCAUUGACUUGACAUGACAAACUGUCUCUACUUUACAGUGCAUUUGGACUUUUUCCACAUUGUGUUACGUUACAGCCUUAUUCUAGAAUGGAUUAAAUGUUUUUUUCCCCUCACCAAUAU
ensembl:lncRNA